UUAAUAAUGAAACAGUCAAUUUCUCUUCCCCAUUACCCCACUUUUUCUCAUAACCUCAGAGAGAUAAAGUAGUAUUGCAUGUGAAAAACAACCUGUCAGACUGGUUUUCUUCAUGUGGUUUUGAGGUGACCCCUUCUUUCUUUUUAAUUAAAAAACAUCACCUCAAAUUCAGAUUUGAGUAGGUUUCAAAAAAGAUCUGGACUCUAAGGGCCUUUCAUUUAUAAUGACUUUUUUUCAGAAUUUCUGAGUCCCUUUCCCUGCUCCAGCCGCCUCCAUUCUUAAAACCCUCUGUGGGCUUCCUGUUGUUGUCAGGAUAAAAACCCCAGGCUGCUCUGAGGCCUGCAGCCCUGAAGCAUCCAGCCCCAGCCUCCUCCUCUGACUGUUGGACUUUUUCUACCACAUUCAUAGUUCUUUCCGUGGAGGCAGGAAGGAGGGGAGUUAGGGUCUUCACAGGUUGGUGGCCUCUGCCAGGCUUGCUGUCACCCCUAGUCCCUCUUCAGCUCUAAGCUCUAGGUGACUCUUCCAGGACGUCUGUGUUGGUCCAACUCUCUGCUGGCUCCCAGUGUCAGGCAUGGUUCCUAGGACAUAUGAUCAAUAUGUAUUUGUUAACUCUCACUAACUAACCUGAAAUUAGAAUUAUACAGAUUAAAUAGAACCAGAUGACACUUUAACACCCACCAUCCCUUUUAUGAAUGGUGAUAUGUUUAUUUAUCCUUGCUCUAUUUUUGCUAUACAUGACAAUGAUAGGUAUAAAGUUAACUACCUUAUCCAAUUCAUAGAAAUUUCUACUAUGUGUCUUUGGACAUAUCUAAAUUUAAUAUUACUUCAUUUCAGUGGAUCCUAAUGUAAAGAGCCUAUUGCCUCAUGAAUUAAGUAGUAUUAGUUAUUUUUAAGUAAGUUAUCUGUAAAAUAGAUGGUCUGUUCUCCAGGUCAGGAGCAUGCAUUGAUAACAGAAAUUCCCAAGAAUUUUCACUGAGUUUAAUGUCAGUAUUGGCAAGCACUGCAUGGGAAGGAAAUCACAGCAACACAUUCUGAUAAAGUAGAAGCCUGUCUGAAGCAGGCUUGUAUUAAACCAAGGAGUUUAAAAUUAAGUAUAAUUUUUUGAUAGUUUCAUUGUACCAGGCAGCUUCUUGGAAUGGAUUCAUAGGGUGGCAUUAGAAUCAGAAUCUUCUGGCCGGGCAUGGUAGCUCAUGCCUGUAAUCCCAACAUUUUGGGAGGCUGAGGCGGGAGAAUCAACUGAGGUCAGGAGUUCGAGACCAGCCUGGCCAACAUGGUGAAACCCCGUCUCUACCAAAAAUACAAAAAUUAGCUGGGUAUAGUGGUGCAUGCCUGUAGUCCCAGCUACUCAGGAGGCUGAGGCAUGAGUAUCACUUCAACCCAGGAGGUGUAGGUUGCAGUGAGCCAAGAUCGCACCACCACACUUUAGCCUGGGUUUAGGAGUGAGGCUCUGUCUCAAAAAAAAAAAAAAAAAAAAGGGAAAAAAGAAAGAAAAGAAUCAGAAUCUUCUGAGCUUAAUAAUGCAAGUGAAAAUUUAUGUAGUGUCUCUCUUGCUUUUUGUAUGAGAGGUUGAAAGCCUGCACAUCUUAAUAAGGUAUACCUAAUAACAUGUUAAUAACUCACAUAUUGUCCGCUUUGGACUACAGACCUUAAAUGAAAGGGCCUUCAUAAAUUAUACAUGUCUGACAAAUAGGUGAUACAUUUUUCAAAUCACAUAAGCUCUUCAGAAUCAAGUCUGCUUUGUGGAGAUAAUUAAAGAAAAUCAAUGUGUUUUGGUUGAUAGAUAUUUGACUAGAAAACACAUUCUCCCCUCAACUCAGACAAUGGGGCGCCUAAGCUUCAAGACCAGUGUUCUCUGAAGACAGAGUGAGGGAUGGGAUUGGAAGGCUCAAGUGUUCUGGGUGCAGGACUUAUGACUCCAGACACCAGGUUCUCCCUGUGGUACCGGUCCUGACCCUAACUUCCCACUGAGCUGAGGGCAAUUGAGUUGAACUCCUGAUCUCUGUCUCUUUCCCUGGGUCAAGGAAUAUGAUUCUUUUUGUCUCACUGGGACCACGAGAGGCUUAAUUCAUCAAUGUUGGUAAAGUGCUAGGAAGAUGAGAAGUGCUGUGCCCAUUCUAAGCAACAUUAUUGAUUCACUUUUUCCUUGUGGUUAAUAUAAAGUUCUCCACAUAUCAGAUAAUGGCUCAGCGUUGCAUAAACAGCCAAGAAUCGCUAGUGGGAGAGAUGUGGCCUGUGUUUUCUCUUAGGAAUAUUGAUGUCUGUAAAAUGCCUUCAGUUUCUCUGAAAAAACAUUAUUACAUGAUUUAAGCUGAUUAUAUUAUUGUUGUAUUUUUAUCUGCAUAUCAGAGUCUUUUUUUAUUUGUUUGUAUUGUUUUGUUUUUCAGUAAUGAUCUGAAAUAAUGUUGAGCCCAGUAAAUAUUUUAUGUUAAGGAAGGCCUAGAUUGGUAAAAAUUUUGCUUAUCUAUUUUGGGUUGCCCUGUCCACUAAAUAAUAGGGGGAUACACACACACACACACACACACACACACACACACACACACACACAGAAAACUCUGUGUGUAUUUAACAUAUGUAUAUAGUGUGUAUGUAUAUGUAUACAUAAUGCUAAUGUGCAUUACCCAUAAUUCAUAAUCUUGUUCAUUAAAUCACAGGAUGUGUGUGUAUAUGCAUAUAUAUGUGCACAUAGAUACAUACACGUAUAAAAACAUAUAUCAUGUUAAUAUGCUUACUUAUGUAUUUACCAUUAUUCUGAAAUAACAUGAUAAGUAACUGUUAAUUAUGGCAUUUAGCUAAUUCACCAUUCUUGGAAAGAUUUUAGGAAUUGCAUUCCUGAAAUUGCUUUCAACAGGAAUUUUAUAAGCAUAUAUAGAAUCUCAACCAGUUACUUUAUUGUUAUACUUGAAAAAAACUUGAAUUGGAAUAAUACAGCUUGAUCAUCUACCUUAUAGUUCAUCAGACUUGGUUCUGGAUCACUUCUUCCUGUUUCCAAAUUCUAAACAUCCUCAGGAAAUGGAGAAUUCAACACCACUAGUUAUCAUAAAAAUGGAUGUUCAGUGGACUGUCGCAAUGAAGUAACAGAAUCCCCAGUUUUCAGCUGGUCACAUGGCAGCCCAGAAUAAAGCCACAUCUCUCAGCCUCCCUUGCAGCUUGGUGUGCCAGUGCCGAAGCUUGGAUGAUGCUGUGGAGGAGAGUAUGCAAACUGAUGGAGAUGUGGAGGUCAGUUGGAUGAUGAGGGGACAGAAAUGCAUAAUCACACUUGGAGACAUCUGCUUCACUCCAUUUAAAAUUUAUUCUAAUAUAAAAAUUCACAAUGAACAGGGAUUGAUAUCAUUGGAUGUCUGUCCUUUCCAAAUCUUGUAUUGAAAUGUGAUCCCCAGUGUUGGAGGUGGGGCCUAGUGGGAGGUGUUCGGCUCAUGGGGAUGAAUCCCUCAUGAAUUUCCUGGUGCUGUCCUCAUGUAAUGAGUGAGUUUUUAUGAGAUAUCGUUGUUUAAAAAGAGCUUGGCACUUCUGCCUCUCUCUCUUGCUCCUGGCUUGCCAUGUGAUGUGCCUGAUCUUUCUUUGUCUUCCACCAUUAUUGUAAACUUCCUGAGGCCCUCACCAGGAACAGAUGCUGGCACCAUGCUUCUUGUACAGCCUGAAUAACUAUGAGUCAAUUAAAUCUCUUUUCUGUAUAACUAACCCAGUCUUAGGUAUUUCUUUGCAAUGCAAAUGGACUAAUAUAAAAUUGGUAGGAGGAGUGAGAUGUUGCUAUAAAGACACCUGAAGAUGUGGAACAAGCUUUGGAACUGGAUAUCGGGCGGAGGUUGGAAGAGUUUGGAGGGCUCAGAAGAAGAAAAGAAGAAAAAGGAGAGUUUGGAACUUCAUAGAGACUUGUUAAGUGGUUGUGACCAAAAUGUUGAUAAUAAAUAUUUACAAUGAAAGGCCAGGCUGACAAGGCCUCAGAGGGAAAUGGGGAAGUUGUUAGGAACUGGAAU
rnacentral:lncRNA from 10 species